GGCUCGGUAUCUCAGCUGAAUAGAGCGUCAGAUUCCGGUUCUGCAGGUCAUGGGUUUGAAUCCCAUCCGAGUCA
rnacentral:tRNA from 1 species